UCUUCUUCUUCUUCGUUCUACUUCUCUGUUCUUCUAUUUUCUUCUUCUCUCCUUAUCUGUUGCUGUUCGAGAGAUGAAAUUGAGGAUUUAAGUUGUAUGAUUGAUAGAUAAGAAUCCAGAUAAAUAGAUGAAUCAAAGAAGGUGUUGUUGUUGGAGUUGUUCAAGUUCUAGAAGAAAGAUUGGGAGUGAGUUGGGGUUUCUGAGAAAAGGAAUCGACUAAGGAUUUACGGGAUAUUGAUUAGGAAAUCAAUUAUAUGGAGAUGGGUUUCAUGUGUUGAUUGCAGAGAAGAAGAUGUUAUUGUGAAUCAGAAGAAAAUCAAAUUAGGGGCACAUAGUUGAUUUAGGUUAUAAAGAUUUAAGAGAUGAAAUUGAAGCUUUAAAAGGUUGAUUAAAGGUGGGUUUGACGUGAAUUCGAGUAUAGGUUGAAGAAUACUUGAAGACUUACAGUUAGGGUUUAUAAGUACUCACUGGAGGUUUGAAUAAUGGAUAAGAAGAAAUAAAAGAUGAAUUCGAUAUCCUAUGAAGGAGAUUUGAGAUGGGUUUGUUGAUAUGAAGACUUAUGUUGCUGUUUUGGGUUCGAAUUAGAGAAGUCUUGUUUGGGAAUGGAAGUAGGGUCUGAUGUAGUUGAAUUAGGGUUUAUUAUGAACUGAUGCUGCUGAUGAGGAUAGUCGAGAUGGUUAGUUGAAUUAGGUGAUAAAUAGGAGAAUGAUUUCAAUUACUUGAGAAGCUGUUAUCAGGUAAUUGUUAUUCCAAUUUAAUUUUAUUCAAGUUGUGUAUUUUGGUUUGUUGAAGUAUAUGUUAAUGAAGCUAAGAUUUGGGGUGAAUGAUUAUCAAAAAUGUACUAGCUGUAGAAGGGUGAAAAUGAAUUGUAUCACUAAGUAUGUAACUGGGGAGUUGUCAUGAUUGCAGGUGCAAGUAAAAUGAAUGUGUAUGUUGGUAGUUAAUUGAGUUGAUGUGCAAGUUGAGAUGUUGUUGAGUCAUGAGAUGAUUCUGCAGGUGGAUGUAAUUGAGUACGUUGGAGGUCUGUUAUUGAAUUGCAGUCGAAUCUUGCUCAGACAUGCAGGGGAGUUGGAUGAUUGAUUGUGAUGAACAUGAAGAAACUGAUAGCGCUGUGUGUAUUGUGAAUUGAAGUUUGUAUAGAAUGAAGCUGUUUUGGAUGAUUGAUUGUGAUGUGAGAUUGCAGGCGAUAUUGAACUGGUGGUGCUGGAGUGGUUAAGAUGGAUAUGUUUUGGUGUGGUCAUGGGAGUUGUAUUGUAGUAGUUUAUAGAAUGAAUGGUUCCUGAAGUUUCAGUCCAUGAAGAAUGGUGAAUUCAGAGUUGUAGAUUGUUUUUGCUGUGAAAGCUGGUUACUGCUUUUUCAGUUUCAGAGACAGAUCAGAGUUGCGCUGCGAAAGCUUCAAGUGUUGAUUUUAUUAGUUGGUUAGCUUCUGCUAUGUUUGUUAUGUUGUAUAUUCUAUUUGUAAACCAUAUGACUAUUAUUUAUGUAUCAUUUGAGAGAAGCGUUUGUAUAUAUACAUUUCAGAAUGCGGCUAGUUUUGGGUUAAGUUUUAUAACAGAUUUCUUAAUUGAAUGUUUAAGUAAAUGAUUUAGAUUU